rnacentral:rRNA from 1 species
AUUGAACGCUGGCGGCACGCCUUACACAUGCAAGUCGAACGGUAACAGGCUCAAGCAAUUGAGUGCUGACGAGUGGCGAACGGGUGAGUACAACAUCGGAACAUACCUUGUAGCGGGGGAUAACUCAACGAAAGUCGAGCUAAUACCGCAUACGCCCUGAGGGGGAAAGCUGGGGACCGAAAGGCCUGGCACUACAAGAUUGGCCGAUGCCUGAUUAGAUAGUUGGUGGGGUAAGAGCCUACCAAGUCCGCGAUCAGUAGCAGGUCUGAGAGGAUGAUCUGCCACACCGGAACUGAGAAACGGUCCGGACUCCUACGGGAGGCAG